UACAGAGACCUCAAGCGUUAUCCGGAAUCAUUGGGCGUAAAGCGUACCGAUCGGUGGUUGAUAAAGUCAGAAGUGAAAUCUCUCAGCUUAACUGGGAGACUGUCUUUUGAUACUUAUCAGCUCGAGGGGCAAAGAGGAAGCUGGAACGAACGGUGUAGUAGUGAAAUGCGUUGAUAUCGUUCGGAACACCAAUAGCGAAGGCAGGCUUCUGGGUGCCACCUGACACUGCUAGGACGAAAGCGUGGGGAGCGAAUGGG
rnacentral:rRNA from 1 species